rnacentral:lncRNA from 1 species
CAUUCAUAAUGAAGAAACAUCCAAUGAUGGAUUAGAUUCAUAAUCUAAUACAUUUACGCUUCCAUUACAUUACUUUGAUUCUUCCUCGAUCUUUGAGGAAUUUAUCCUUUAAUAUUUCUUAAAUACUUAAGGACUCACUUGACAGUUGCCAUGGUUCUGAUCCUGGGCUUGCACUGAUAUCGUCUUGUACCGUUCUAGGUACAACUCAUAUCAAUGUUUUUCAUACAAUAUGAAAUACAUAAAUCACCUUUCUGCGUAUGCAUAAAGGAUUCUAUUUAUGCAUUAUUUCUUUGGGAGUCAAAGGGUACAUUCCCUUUGAGAAGAGCAACUUGCUAGUCUCACUAGAAUCGUCCUUCUUAUUGAAGUUUAUCAUCAUAUGAGAAACUUCCUAGCAUCCAUUGUCUAUUAUUAGGGAUUGAUAUAAUCCAAUUAUAUCAUGAAAUAUAUCAUUAUAGAUUUCCAUCCCAUGUAUAUAGACUAUAUCUCCCAUAUACAUUCUAUCUUCAUAUAAUGUAUUAAAGUCAUAACUUUAACGAAGAAGUAUUCUUUUCAUUUCCAAAAUUAAUAUAUCAUAUAUAUUUAAAUUUUAGGAACAUGAUUAACUCCCACUAAUCUUUUGUAAAACUCGUAAACAAAAGAUUCAUUUACAUCUUUAUGAGAAAUCAAACGAUUUGAUCCUUUUUCCUCAUAAAAUGCAAAUAGCUCCCACUAACUCGCUAAGAUCCAUGAUGGAUGGAUCUCUACAACUUACAUGUCUUGUGAUUUAUAGUUUUAGACAUAUAUUAUCAAGACUAUCUUAAUAAUGGUUUCGGAAACCCAUAUUAUGUCCAAACAUUGAAUCACCAUUUAGUUGUAGCUAGCAAUCUUCGAAUUAAUUGAAACUAAGACUACGUCAAAAAUGGUUCCUUUAAAGUCAACCAUUCUCUUUGAUUGUAGUCACCUUAAGCUACCAAUUAGCUUAUGAAGAUUUCAUUAUUUCGAGUCAAAUGGUACUUUACCAUUUCCUUGAGUAUAUAUCGUAUAUGCACUCAAUGUAGUCAUAAAUUCAAAACCAUUCAACUGAGACGGUUUAUAAAUCCUUAUCGACUACCUUGGAGCUUUGUGUAUAGGAACUAGGUUGUUUAUAUUUGUUGAAUACUAUCUUGUCUCUCAAAGAACCCAUUCUUCGAGUUCUAUCUCUCGUUCAUUUGCUUUUAGGCAAAUCACAUUGUAGAAUUACAAUGAACUACCCAACAAAACAACAUUUGUUAGUUGGUUUAUAGAAGCGAUAUCCAAAAGUUAUUUUAAGGAUAUCCUACAAGAUUGUUAUCAAACAAAUAUUGCUUAUUAGCACACAACCCCAAAUCUUAACAUGCUUAAGAUUUGUCCUCUUUCCAACUACAUCAUAUGGAGUCAUGAAAAUAUUGGAAGAUCUUCUCAUUGACAAUCAUAUUGUUUUUAGAAGUAUAUAUCCUAUAUAUGGGUAAUAGAUAACAUCUAACGAACUAAAACUUAUUCGAGUUCGUUCUUCUCCUAAUGGAGAAAUACAUUAUCUUAUGAUGCUUAUUUCCUUGAUAUCUUUC